rnacentral:ncRNA from 2 species
AUGACAGCGACGGGAGACACUGGAUCCCAGGGCCGAAGGAGCAACCGCCCCGGUAAACUCUCAGGCAAAAGGACCGCCGCUGACAG